rnacentral:rRNA from 1 species
AUUGAACGCUGGCGGCAGGCUUCACACAUGUAAGUCGAGCGAGCGGCGGACGGGUGCGUAAUGUCUGGGAAACUGCCUGAUGGAGGGGGAUAACUACUGGAAACGGUAGCUAAUACCGCAUACCAUCAGAUGUGCCCAUAUGGGUUUAGCUAGUAGGUGGGGUAAUGGCUCACCUAGGCGACGAUCCCUAGCUGGUCUGAGAGGAUGACCAGCCACACUGGAACGGAGGCACGGUCCAGACUCCUACGGGAGGAAGCAGUGGGGGAUAUUGGACAAUGGGCGCAAGCCUGAUGCAGCAAUGCCGCGUGUGUGAAGAAGGCCUUCGGGUUGUAAAGCACUUUCAGCGAGGAGGCGUUACUCGCAGAAGAAGCACCAGCUAACUCCGUGCCAGCAGCCGCGGUAAUAC